rnacentral:rRNA from 1 species
UGGCGGACGGGUGAGUAAUGUCUGGGAAACUGCCCGAUGGAGGGGGAUAACUACUGGAAACGGUAGCUAAUACCGCAUAACGUCGCAAGACCAAAGAGGGGGACCUUAGGGCCUCUUGCCAUCGGAUGUGCCCAGGUGGGAUUAGCUAGUAGGUGGGGUAACGGCUCACCUAGGCGACGAUCCCUAGCUGGUCUGAGAGGAUGACCAGCCACACUGGAACUGAGACACGGUCCAG